AAUGCAGUAGGCAACAGAUCUUCAAAUAUGACCCCAUAACAGGAAGAAGGAUAAAUGAGGGGCAAGCAGAAGAUAAGGUGAAAUGUUUACCUUGCUCUGCAUGUGGAAAAAUCUGGGAGGAGACAUGGGAGCCGGCCUGCCAGUUCCCAUCAGGUGCCAACCUAGUGUGACGUCACUAACAGUUGUCGAGUUCCCACAGCCAUCCCAUUAAUAUUUACUUUCAGUGCUGUUUUUAUUAUUAUUAUUGAUUUUUGUAAAAGCUGUGUUCAAAUAAAUCAAUACCAUUCACCU